GAACUCUUCUUUUUUGGCAUUUAAAACUUUUAAUAAUCUAGCGCCUUCCUAUGUUUCUGGUCUUCUUACCCAUUACUCCCCUCCACACAUACGCCAGACCAGCCUUACUGGCCCUCUUGCUUUUCCUCUGUUAGUGUAGAAAUGACAGAGAAAGAAAUAGGUUUAAGGAUAAGUGAAAAGGUUGGUUUUACCGAGGUUGGUCUGGCCAUAUGCUAGGAACUCUGUGACAGGAGAUUCUAGAGUCUGGAGAGAAGAUUUGAAGGGGUACUAAUCAACGGAAAGGGCUUCCGGUUUCUUGGAGUUGAGAGGAAGUAGCCAGGCUCUGCUGAUCCUGGAGAUACCAAAUCUAACAGUGAGGUUGAAGGGAAACCUUUGGACUUUCUUGGAAGCACCUUUCUUCACAAGAAGAGAGACAUCUAAGAAGAUCUUGUAUAAUAUCAAACAUGAUUAAGACCUCAAUAUCAACCUUAUUGAAGAUAAAGACAUCUUGAAGUCUCAUCUAACUGAAGAUGAGUUGACUGAGUCAGGAUGCAGGAUAAUUGAAGAAGAGCUGGAUUUGAAGUCAGAAGACCCAAGUUUGAAAUAUGGCUCUGCCAACUGUACUACCUAGAUGACCUUUGGAAUUCAUAAAAAUUUGGUCUUCUACUCAGAGAAGGAAACAAAGAUGAAAUGUUUAGUGAUCAGUGAGGUGUCAGAUAGGCAUCCUGAAAAAUGGCAACUUUUACAAUAUCCUCCGACAAGCAUAUUGUGAGACUUCUUACUUUGCAAAUGACCUCUCUGGGUAAUGUGUGUUUAUAUCCAAAAUAAAGUUCUUUGCCAAAAUACA
rnacentral:lncRNA from 1 species